UAAUUACAAAUGUUAUAUAUAAAAAUAAUAAAGAAUUCCAAUAUUCACUGUCCGAUAUAAAAACCCUACGAGGGCGGGUUCAGGUAGCGCCAAGCUAUGUACUGAAAAAGGUAACUGUAAAUUCAAAACUUGUCUCGGGGCACAAAACAUCCGAACAAACGAUUAAACAAUGGAUCAAAAAUCAACAAUACGUGCAAUUCCUAGACUACAAGCAAUCCUGUAAGUAAUAAAGAACUCUUAAAAAUAAAUUCCUGCAAUACGUAGACGUUUUCGCCUAAAGUGCAAAACCACACAAAAAUGCCGAAGAUUUCCAAACGAACGAAAUCGUUCCGGGAAUCGCUUUUCAGUGAGGUAUUUGCAAUGACCGCGGGAGUAAGGCACUCACUGGACACUGAUCAAGCAGCAAAAGAAGGAUUAAAGCAACGAUUAGCGUGGCGAAAUGCAAUGAUGAUGCGCCGGGAGAGACGGCUCUAUCGUCAAAGAAAAAAAGAGCAAGAUCGAAAACAAGAGCUGGCCAGGCAAGCCGCUCUUCGUUCCCGUUGUGCUCGCAAACAAAAGCGCACGAAAACAAGAUCGAGAUCGGUCUCCUACAAGGACAGUACCGAUCUAAUAUCAUUGAGUUCAGAAGAGGACACGGCCAGCUACCAUUCAUCGCACUGCUCACAAUGGACACAACUUGACGAAUACUUUGAUAAGAUUGAAGUUAAAACAUAACUUGUUCGCGUUGAGUAUUGCUUUAAUUCAUUGUGUGUAAAUAAAUCUAUGAAUAUUUUCGUUUUAAA